AGUGAACGCUGGCGGUAGGCCUAACACAUGCAAGUCGAACGGCAGCACAGUAAGAGCUUGCUCUUUCGGGUGGCGAGUGGCGGACGGGUGAGGAAUACAUCGGAAUCUACUUUUUCGUGGGGGAUAACGUAGGGAAACUUACGCUAAUACCGCAUACGACCUACGGGUGAAAGCAGGGGUUCUUCGGACCUUGCGCGAUUGAAUGAGCCGAUGUGGGAUUAGCUAGUUGGCGGGGUAAAGGCCCACCAAGGCGACGAUCCGUAGCUGGUCUGAGAGGAUGAUCAGCCACACUGGAACUGAGACACGGUCCAGACUCCUACGGGAGGCAGCAGUGGGGAAUAUUGGACAAUGGGCGCAAGCCUGAUCCAGCCAUACCGCGUGGGUGAAGAAGGCCUUCGGGUUGUAAAGCCCUUUUGUUGGGAAAGAAAAGCAGCAGGUUAAUACCCCGCUGUUCUGACGGUACCCAAAGAAUAAGCACCGGCUAACUUCGUG
rnacentral:rRNA from 1 species